rnacentral:rRNA from 1 species
GGCUUAACACAUGCAAGUCGAGGGGCAGCAUUGAGAUAGCUUGCUAUUUCAGAUGGCGACCGGCGCACGGGUGAGUAACGCGUAUCCAACCUUCCCUAUAGUAGAGGAUAGCCCGGAGAAAUUCGGAUUAAUACUCUAUGUUCUUCUAAGCGGACAUCUAAUUAGGAGCAAAGGCUUGCCGCUAUAGGAUGGGGAUGCGUCUGAUUAGCUUGUUGGCGGGGUAACGGCCCACCAAGGCAACGAUCAGUAGGGGUUCUGAGAGGAAGGUCCCCCACAUUGGAACUGAGACACGGUCCAAACUCCUACGGGAGGCAGCAGUGAGGAAUAUUGGUCAAUGGACGGGAGUCUGAACCAGCCAAGUAGCGUGCAGGAUGACGGCCCUAUGGGUUGUAAACUGCUUUUAUACGGGGAUAAAGUGAGGGACGUGUCCCUUUUUGUAGGUACCGUAUGAAUAAGGACCGGCUAAUUCCGUGCCAGCAGCCGCGGUAAUACGGAAGGUCCGGGCGUUAUCCGGAUUUAUUGGGUUUAAAGGGAGCGCAGGCCGAAGGUUAAGCGUGACGUGAAAUGUAGCCGCUCAACGGCUGAACUGCGUCGCGAACUGGCUUUCUUGAGUGAGUUCGAUGUGGGCGGAAAUUCGUGGU